rnacentral:lncRNA from 1 species
GUGAGUCGAUUUCCUCUGCUGUGUGCUUCGGCCAUGAUGUACUGGCUCACAACCAGCUAAAAGCAACAAGACCAAGGAGUCCUGCAGCUGAACCUCCAAAACUACAUGUCAAAAUGAACCUUGUCCCCAUUGUUCUCCACUAAAGGGACUACACACAGGCAUGAUUUAAAGAUGACCCAGCCUCCAUUUCAGAGUUACCAUUUGGGUGCACAUUUCAGCCAAGAGUGCUUAGGAGACAAUGGUGAUACAUAAGGAAGCUGAAGUAUCUGAACGUUCUACAAAGCUGAGAGAGGCCCUCAGCCUCCCAGCCCAGCAGUGGUGUCUGUCUCCUGGGAAUAACACAGCUUUAUGGACAAAGCAGGAUGUGCCAGGGAAAAACAAAUAAGCAUGCAGCAGCCCACUAUGGAAGGAAAUAUUCCUAGUCAAACAGUAACAUAAUACCUGCUUAUUCUUUUCAAACCCUCCUGUCAUUUAUUUGAAGAUUAUUUUCCACUGAAGCCUUUGCAGAAGGUACUUAGAGCAAAGCCUCAAGAGACUCUCACGCUCAUUUUGGAGCUGUCUGAUAUUCAUGGCUCCGAGCUGGGCAAAUAUUAGCUGGAAGAUGUAGACGGUGAUAAGGCCAACGGCCUACACUUCUCCAGACCCUAAAAGGGUUUCUGUUGACACAACCUGAUUUGUCUCGGCAGCAGCUGCACUGCAUAGAUUUUGCACGGAACCCCUGUCAUGGUUGGUGCUCGUGUGGGGAGCCAGGCACCUCCCUGGAUGCUUUAUCAUAGGAGCGACGGUCAGCACAGUUCUAUACUCAUGGGCUUUAGGAAGAUAAGAACCCCCAAUCAACCCUCAGUUAUGAAGUUAUUAUUGUUGUAGCUUUCUGUUCCACUGUUGUCCUUUGGUAACCGAGAAUAAGUGAAUAAAUAAAUGAAUGAAUCCG